rnacentral:rRNA from 1 species
AUUGAACGCUGGCGGCAUGCCUUACACAUGUAAGUCGAACGAAGGCUUCGGCCUUAGUGGCGCACGGGUGCGUAACGCGUGGGAAUCUGCCCUUGGGUUCGGAAUAACUCAGAGAAAUUUGAGCUAAUACCGGAUGAUGUCGAAAGACCAAAGAUUUAUCGCCCAAGGAUGAGCCCGCGUAGGAUUAGCUAGUUGGUGAGGUAAAGGCUCACCAAGGCGACGAUCCUUAGCUGGUCUGAGAGGAUGAUCAGCCACACUGGGACUGAGACACGGCCCAGACUCCUACGGGAAGCAGCAGUGGGGAAUAUUGGACAAUGGGCGAAAGCCUGAUCCAGCAAUGCCGCGUGAGUGAUGAAGGCCUUAGGGUUGUAAAGCUCUUUUACCCGGGAUGAUAAUGACAGUACCGGGAGAAUAAGCUCCGGCUAACUUCGUGCCAGCCGCCGCAGUAACAC